UGGUUGUAAAAAAAAAUAUAAAGUAAUUUAUCCAUAAUUAGAUGAAGCUGCUCAAAAUCGGACUUUGAACUGGACAGAAAAUCAUUUUUAAUGUGUUAGCAAAAUGUUUUCUCCAUUUGCUUUAUGUUUUAGUUUAAAGUUAGUUGGUUUUACUGUCCUUCGUAUUGCAGUUUUAAUCAGGACAUUUAAUUGUAACUGUCUAAUGUUUUUAAGACAUUGCAUCCCUGCGUUGUUAUAUUUAUAUUGUGUCUUCUAAUUGCUUAUUUAUCUUGUGUGGUCUUGUUCUUCCUUACUGUUUUUGUGAUAUUUAUGUGUUGUAUUAUUGUGAACAUCAACCUGAUGUAAUUCACCUGAAAUGUUCAAAAACAAUUGUAGCAUUGCUUUAAAGGAAGUGCUGCAUUUAUGCAGUUUGUUUUUCCA